AAGAAUAAUACUAUGAAUUUCUUCAGAAGCGAGGGUUAGCUGAACAAAGUCAUUAGCGUGAGGUCUGCCACAUGUUUAAGUGCUCAAUAAAUUGAGCCAGCCCAAACUUGUCUCCUGAGUUCCAGACGUAUUCAGAUGCCCAUUUAUCCUACCAUCAAACCGUGGCUGAAUUCCUAAAAUAAUUCUCUUGUGACCUUUGGACAAUCUUCCUAAAGGUAAAAAUGGAGCGUCUGUGGGAAUGACGGCGGCACAUUCUUGCUGCGCGUGCUCUGAGAGCUGCUGUAUAGUUUAUGCGUGCGACACUGGCUGGGGAUGACCAGGUGGAAAUAACCCCUGCAUCUGAAAUGCUUGGAUCAAGUCAUUUUUACGGUUCGUGACUGCGGCUGCUUCCACUAUUCCUAAAAACCUCAAAAUCCUUGAGCGAUAGCCUGGAUGGAGAACCGUUCAGCUGUUUCUUGGCGUUAAAAAAUAGGAUGUAAUUCCUGAGGCUAUGCUUUGGGGAGGAGGGUGUUGCAAUAUAUUUUGGGAAGCUGAGCACUGACCAGUUUCACCUCUGUUUUAUUAGGUUUUAUGAUGAACUUUUUUACUUUCCAUAAAUUACUCUUCAUUCUUAAGGAAGUGUGUCUGCACUCUGAAAGACUUCUGAAAUGGCCUGGUUUUUAUUUUGUGUUUUCUGACCUAAAACAUGAUCAUCUAGGGUUUUGACUUUCGUGUCUUCACUUUCAUUUGAUCUGCUAGCAUAACUCCCAGCAUUUAGAAACUUUGGUUUUUAACCUAGGAUAUGAUGUUUCCUCCUGUGCAGCUCCCCAGUGCCUGUGGGUGAAUUUGGGAGCCCGUGGAUACCCAGAGAGCUUUUUCUCACCUCUUCAUGUUUGCUCCGGGACUCAGCAUCAGGGUUCCCUAACCCCCUCCUCUCCUGAAAUUCUGUUUCUGCCUUAAGAUCCAGUUUCAGACCAGGUCUGUCUGAAAGUCACCCCUUUUUUCCCCAGACAAGGAAAUCUGCUUCUGACGGCUGCCCUCCUUGAGCACUUGGUUCUAUUUUGUACUAUGAUUAACCGCCCAUGUGCCGUUCGACCCCCUUCUAUCCUAAUCCUCCUGGCUGGCAGAAGUGGGUCUCACCCAACCUUCUACCCCUUGCAGCCCGGUGCCUUCUGCAUAAAGGUUAGCAUUUACCGAGGAGUUACCAUGUGCCAGGCCUUCUGUCUGCCCACAGCCUACUGAAGUAGGGACUCUUAAAUUCUCCACUGUAUGGUUGAGGAAACUGAGGCUUGGAGAGGUUACGUACAUCACCCAAGGCUGUCCAGCUAGCAAAUGGCAGAACUGGUCUGUCAUUGCCAAUGAAUCUUCUGAUGGAUGAGAUCAGCUUAAGAUAGUUUUGUUUCUUUAGGAGGAAAUAUGGCUCCGGAGCCUGAGCUUUUAACCCCAGCUAUAAAUAUUAGUUGAGAUGGAGAGGAAAAAAUAGUCUUAUCUAGAAAAAAAUAUUUGCAUAUCAUUUUCCUUUUCAUUCCCUGUGGAAAAAAACAAAGCAAUGUUUUGUACACAGCUUUAAGGUUUUUUUCCCUGAGGAAACAGAGCAGGGAUGAAGUUAACUUAGUUGGGCUUCCAUCACCCAUCGUUAACUAUUCCUCCUCAUGGGUCAGUGGAAAAGUCAGUGCUGCACUAACGCUCUCCGUGUGCCUCAGAGUUUUUCAGACUUUUGCUGACUACUCCAGAGUCUAAGUGGUCGUUGAAUAAAAAGUUCCCACGGUUGAAAAGGAAGGGUGAGGGGGAGCCAAUAAUGACUAAGUUGCUUUCAACUGAUGGACCGAUGCACAGGUGGGAUUCUGAAAAUUCUGUCUCCAGGAAUGGCCACAAAAGCCAACUGAACGGGUGAUGGGAACAUUAGGCUGAGUCGGCAGGUGGGGUUUCGCCACCUCCAGCGCUCACGUCAUCUCUGUGAGAGAUGCUCACCUCAGUAUUUAAAUGGGAGAAAUGGCCUCCAAAGCUCCUCCAAGGAGAUUACACGAAAGAGGUUUUAAAAUGGGCGUUCUUUCAUUAUUGCUGUUAUUAUUAUUACCAGCGUAGCAUCUGAGCACUAAGUGCAAUAGCAUUUCCAUGGGAAACAAAGGUUUUGAAUUUAAAGAUGGGAUUCUAAGAGUCAGUCUCUGGCUGCCUUCUCCCUGCCCAUACUGUGUUGUAGAAGGAUCUGGAAGACCUGUGUUCCCACGGCUCUGUGUGUUGGCAGCAGGACUGAGGAUUUCGCCAGUUCCAAACCCUAUGGCUUGGAACCGGAAGAGGGGCAAGGUCCAAGAGGUGAGAGGUUCAGCUGGAGAAAGGGACGUCUGAACUCUCUGACACUAGUUUUUCCAAGUCAUGUUUUCCUCCCUUCAGCUCGAAGUUUGGACCCAUGAGCUUCUCUUCCUGCUGGUAACGUUCAGUACAGCUCUCCACUUCUCCCCUCUCCCUCGGCAGCAAAAACAGGUCCACAGCUCUGCACUGCCUGCCUUAGGGUUAAUUGUGGAAAUCAGAUGAAAUGCUCUGUAAACUUUACAAACGUUAAUUAUUGUUAUUCUGAACCAGAACCACCUCAGCAUGUUUGAGGGAUGGGUUUUACUCCUUAGGAGAGCUUUCCAGUCGAAUGAAGGCCUUCAUUUCUUAUGUAGAAACACGAAUUUCACCUGUUACUCAGUAACAUUUAGUAUCCACUUCACCAGCGUCUUACGUGUUUUAGCUAUCUAUCCGUUCCUCUUAAGAGCCCUGUGACAUCAGUGUUCUCUUUUUCUCCACUUUACACAUUCGAAAAAUUAAGUUUGGAAGACUGAGUCAUCCGCCCAAGGUCAUCUAUCUAUUUUAUGAAAAGCAGCGCGGGGAGUCAAAACUGACGCCAAGCCUCUGUGGUCAACCACAACAUACAAGAUUGCACACACAAUAAAUGCUUCACGUCCUUUCUCCUGUUCACGACUGUCUGUCUCUCUUUGCUGUACGUCCUUAGAGACAGAGUAGUUUAUCAAUCACGAAUCCUUAUUACAAAAUAACAGUUGUCCCGUUCGUUAAGGGGGGGUGGGGUGAAGGGGUUAGGAGGGUGAUUCCGCUGGGCAGUUAAGUGCCCAAGAAAGGACGAUCCUAAGAAAGGCUGCUCAGAAAUGUGAAGUUAAUGCUGAAAAUAAAAUGGGAAAACUGGAAAAGUACUUACUCACUGAGGUAACUGGUGAUUAAAAAGCGUACCUCUCAGGUGACUCUAGGUCUCGUCCCUCGACACACUCCUUUGUUGGCUGUCGAUCCGAGGGCCGGGUUGGCGAGCCCCGGGCCUCGGCUGCCGGGCAGAUGAGUUCACGUCUGGGUGCUGCUGGGUUCCUGAGCCCGCGACCGGGGAGAAGAUGCCAUUUCCGGUGGUACGGGAGGCAAAUGACACGAGUCAGCAUUUACUUCUUUGUAUUAGGAAGCGGAAGACUUAAUGACCAAAGCUUGAAGACUCGACCCAUGUGACAUCACCAAGUGGCAAAUGGUGGAACCGAGGCCGGGAGCGAGCCUCAACGACUGUCACCUGGAAGGAGUGCUCAGGGCCUGGACAAACUUAAGACUGCCAUGUGUCCUCUUCACUGCCCUCUUGGUGGGAGGCCAGACAGGGCUCACUGCCGUUGUUAUUUUGCCUAUUUGCGGAAGGUACUUAAUGCAUACGGCACAGAACUUCAAAAGGUACAGGUGGUAUAAGUGAGAAGUCCCUCUCCCUUUCUUGUUUCCUCAUCCCUCAUUUGUCCUGCCAGAGGUGAUAUGGUCAUGGGCUUCUUGUCUAUUCUAUCAGAAGUAUUCCAUACAGAUAACUUAUAUCUCUCUGAAAUAUUUUGUUCUCUCCUCCUUUCUUCUUGAAGACUCAACUUCCCUUUUUAUUUAAGGCAGAAGUCUGGAAAGAAGAAUACAACACCACUUAGAUCAGAUGUUAACUUGCGGAAGGUCUUUGGGAAAUGGAUCUUUCAGAUUGUUCCGAAUAUUCUGUUCCAAUGUUUGAAAUGGUACAGAAAACACACGACUCACAACAGCCUGUAAAAGGAGUCCCUAUUGUGUGGCAUUUAUAACUGACCCAGGCCCUCAUACCCUGUCUGGCUGGGGACCACUUAAACUUUGAUAUCAAUAUAUCUCCAUAUCUCAAUAUGGUGACUGUUUGUCUAUUGAUGGUGUGAAUUGAAGCCAGAGCUAUGACGCUGUGAAUAAAAUAGCUCUGGGACCCCACAGACUUGGGUUUGAUAACUAAUUUUGUCAUUUAUGGCUGCAUGAUGUUGGUAAUCGCUGAACUCCUUGUGGCAAAAUAAUGACAGUAACAGUCGCUACGUAGAUGCAAGGGUUAAAUGAGAAAACAGAUCCAGAGGACCAGGUUACAUGGUAGUGUAUAAUAAAAUAUGUCCACAUCACUCACCGUGGCCCAUCCACUAGUUCUUUCCCCCAUUUAAUAAAUAAUUGUGGCAGAUACGUUCUAGGUGCUAGAAAUACAGCUGUGAUUAACACAUUAAAAGAAAAAAAAAAGCCUUGCCCCAUGGAGUUGACAUUUGGGUUGAGGGAGUCAGACAACUAAAAAUAAAUAAAUACAUACGUAAAUACGUAGAAUAGUAUGUUAGGUCGAAGAGGAGCACGAUUGUUGGCUGAGGAGGAUGCAGGAGCUGUGGAUCAGAAUUUUAAAUGGGGUAGUGACAGGGUUUGAGACCCGCUACCCCAGAAUAUGGCACCGCAGCAUGCUGAAUAUUUUAAGCCAAAGGGACUUGAGAAACGGCAGGUGCUGGAAGGACUCUGGGGCCUGCCCUGAAGCACGUCACAAGGCCCUCUUGUGAGAGGUGCCCUCCCCUUACCUGGAAGAAAGUAGCAUCCUUAUCUCCAAAGACACCAGGACUCAGAGGAAUCUAAGCAAACAGGCUUUGAGACCCAGCUGAGAACCUGGAAGCGUAGAAGGGACAAAUCAUGGUCUGGAAAAGGUCUCCCAGAAAAGAUGACAUUUAAGCAAAGCCAGAGGGAGGUGGUGGAAGGACCAUAUAGAAAUCUGGGGGAAGGAAGCUCCAAGCAGAAAGAACAAUAAAGAGGAACACUGUUAUUUUUCUUAUCUUCUUGGAACUGAGUGCUUCAAGCAGGCCCGAAAUCAACCUACGAAAUAUGUACUUAGAAUACACUUAUUUCAGCAAACUGCUGUGUGUCUGUGUUCAACUCUAUGAGUGGCUACCUUAAAAAAGGACCAGGUUUGGCAAAUCA